rnacentral:piRNA from 1 species
AUGCUGGCAUCCAGGGUCAUUUCCCCGG